rnacentral:rRNA from 1 species
UACAGAGGUCCCGAGCGUUGUUCGGAUUCAUUGGGCGUAAAGGGUGCGUAGGCGGCGCCGUAAGUCAGGUGUGAAAGCUUGGGGCUCAACCCCAAAAGAGCAUUUGAAACUGCGGUGCUAGAGGACUGGAGAGGAGACUGGAAUUCACGGUGUAGCAGUGAAAUGCGUAGAUAUCGUGAGGAAGGCCAGUGGCGAAAGCGGGUCUCUGGACAGGUUCUGACGCUGAGGCACGAAGGCUAGGGGAGCAAACGGG